UUGAACGCUGGCGGCAGGCCUAACACCUGCAAGUCGAGCGGAUGAAGGGAGCUUGCUCCUGGAUUCAGCGGCGGACGGGUGAGUAAUGCCUGGGAAUCUGCCUGGUAGUGGGGGAUAACGUCCGGAAACGGGCGCUAAUACCGCAUACGUCCUGAGGGAGAAAGUGGGGGAUCUUCGGACCUCACGCUAUCAGAUGAGCCUAGGUCGGAUUAGCUAGUUGGUGGGGUAAAGGCCUACCAAGGCGACGAUCCGUAACUGGUCUGAGAGGAUGAUCAGUCACACUGGAACUGAGACACGGUCCAGACUCCUACGGGAGGCAGCAGUGGGGAAUAUUGGACAAUGGGCGAAAGCCUGAUCCAGCCAUGCCGCGUGUGUGAAGAAGGUCUUCGGAUUGUAAAGCACUUUAAGUUGGGAGGAAGGGCAGUAAGUUAAUACCUUGCUGUUUUGACGUUACCAACAGAAUAAGCACCGGCUAACUUCGUG
rnacentral:rRNA from 1 species